CAGGUCUGAAGAAACUCAAAUCAGAACAUAAGAAGGUCCAACUGGGAAACUUCACUAUUGAUAUGGUUAUUGGUGGGAUGAGAGGUAUUACUGGAUUGCUUUGGGAAACCUCAUUGCUUGACCCAGAUAAGGGUAUACGCUUUUACGGGCUUGACAAGUCCUGAGCGCCAAAAAGUAUUACCUACUGCCCCUUCUGGAGCAGAACCGUUGCCCAAGCGUCUUAUAUAGCUUCUUUUUAACUGGAAAGGUACCUAGCAAAGAGCAAGUAGAAGAAGCACUGUCGAAAGACUUGGCAAACCGUGCUGAUGUGCCAGACUAUGUGUACAAUGCCGUCGAUGCCCUGCCUUCCACCACUCAUCUAAUUACUCGAUUUUGUAGCAACGGUGUUAUGGCCCUCCAGUAAACAAUCAGCGGAAAGCUAAUUUUCUUUGCCUGAUAUCCAGGAGCAAAGUGAAUUCAAAAAGGCAUAUUGCAGGCUGUCGCAUGCGACACUUGUUGAUGAGUCACUCUAUGAUUCUAUUGCUGGAGAGCUGAGCUAGUGUGUACUCAAAGCUUGAUGCAUCCGUCAAAGGCACCCUUGUUUGAUAUUGUUGUGGUUUUCAGCAGCUGAUUCAAAAGGAGUUAAUGAGUCUGAUGAAUCGGAAUUAAAAGGUUUGUUUACUUGAUACUACUAUACCUUGUUUUGCUUAGUAGUAUGGUGUCUUCUUCAUAGUUUAGUAGAUGGUGUUUUGCUUAGCACUGUUGCCAGAUUAAGCUUAUGAAAUUGGUAGAGACUUUCACACCUCUUGUUCCUUGUUUUGCUUAGCUCUGUUGCAGGUAUGUUCCUCUUCAAGUAUCUUGUUCAUUUUUUUUUGUUUAAAUUGGCUUUUACACCACGAAAUAAAGGAAACUACACAUAGAGAAGCUUAGAGGAUGAAGAAGAUAGAGUAAGUCCUGAUAUCAACAACGAAGGAGCCAUGAACUUUUACACUAAGGUCUACAAGAGGAGAUCAAAUCAGUUCCUAUAGAACUGUUGUUAAUAGGCCAGCUUGGUACAAGGGGAAGGUAAAUCCUGAAAACAAGGUUUUCAACAGCUGAUUCAAAAAGAGUUGAUGAGUAUGAGGCGUCAAAAGUAGAAGGUUUGUUUACGUGUUACUACUGAACCUUGUUUUGCGUAGCUCUCUUGCGAAUAAGGCUUAAUAAAUUGGUAGACACUUUGAAGAAGUUUGAUGAGGUUCACAAUCUCUACAUUCAACCUCAGGUACGCACGUCCUCUUACUUGUUAGCUCAUCUUUUUUUUGAGCUGCUCCCCUCUUACUCUCUCUUUCUCUCUAUGAUUAUUUAAGUCAUAAUCUUAUAGAUACAAUCAGUAGUAUAAAAUACUAGAAAGAGAAAAGAGAGAAACUUGAAUAUUACAACAUCCUCUUACUUACUUGGGAGAAAUGGGUUUGAGUUCGUUAUCUGCAUUGAUAUACUGCCCACGAUGAGAUAUCGAGUUACCGACAAAGAUCCUUGAAACUGCCAUGUGUGUCGUCGACUGUAAUUUCGAGAAACAUACGAAAAAUGAACGCUGCUUUCACUAUGUUGAAUCUUAUGUUGUUUUGUUGUACAGAAUCAAUCAAAUCUUUGAAAGAGUUUUGUAGCUACUGUGUCUGGUUUACUCUGUCGAUUUAGCCAAUUCUCACUCUCA